rnacentral:rRNA from 1 species
CGGCGGACGGGUGAGUAACGCGUGGGUAACCUGCCUCAUACAGGGGGAUAACAGUUAGAAAUGACUGCUAAUACCGCAUAAGCGCACAGGACCGCAUGGUCCGGUGUGAAAAACUCCGGUGGUAUGAGAUGGACCCGCGUCUGAUUAGUUAGUUGGCGGGGUAACGGCCCACCAAGGCGACGAUCAGUAGCCGGCCUGAGAGGGUGAACGGCCACAUUGGGACUGAGACACGGCCCAAACUCCUACGGGAGGCAGCAG